GACUCAACACGGGGAAANUCACCAGGUCCAGACACAAUAAGGAUUNACAGAUUGAUAGCUCUUUCAUGAUCUUGUGGUUGGUGGNGCAUGCACCGUUCUUAGUUAGUGGAGUGAUUUNUCAGGUUAAUUCCGAUAACGAACGAGACCUUAACCUGCUAAAUAGCCCAUUCGGCUUUNGUUGAAUGCUGGCUUAUUAGAGGGACUAUCGGNGUUUUANCCGGUGGAAGUUNGNGGCAAUAACAGGUCCUGUGAUGCCCUUAGAUGUUAUGGGCCGCACGCGCGCUACACNGACAAANCCAGCGACUUUNUUCCUUGUCCGGAAGGAUCUNGGUAAUUUUGUGAAANUUNGUUGUGAUGGGGAUAGNNCAUUGCAAUUAUUGNUCUUCAACGAGGAAUNCCUAGUAAGCGCGGUUCAUCAGAUCGCGUUGAUUACGUCCCUGCCCUUUGUACACACCGCCCGUCGCUACUACCGAUUGAAUGGCUUAGUGAGGCCCUCGGAUUGGCGUAUUACUGCCGGCAACGGCUGGUUAUAUGCCGAGAAGUUGGACAAACUUGGUCAUUUAGAGGAGGUAAAAGUCGUAACAAGGU
rnacentral:rRNA from 1 species